GCCUACUCCACCUGACUAGUGAGGUCCAGAAGUUUCGUUCUCCAGAUUCGGUACAGUGAGACUACCUGCCGGAGGUGUUUCAGAGCUAUUUGAGGAGCAGGGAUGCCCACGAGUUCCAUCCUUACUUUGUGUUUCCUUUUAGUUAUUAGCGAUGCUGUUGGAUGAGGCUUAGCCGUUUCAUAUGAAAGAAAAAGAAUUUGCUCUUAGGGAUCCGGGAGCAGCAGUACAAUCGCGGUGUUUUUUAUUUUAAAUAGGACUCUUCACAGUGUUAUUUUUGACCGGCGAACCUUCGGGUUCUUUUAAAGUUAUAUUUUUGUUUAUAUUCCUGGGUGAGCGGAAGGGAGAGGACGGGAGGAGCUUCCUGUGUGCCUGCCUGCAGGUGCACCAAUGCUCAGCAGAGGGCACUGAAUGCUGGGGAAACAUGCUUGUGAGCUGCCUGAAGAGGAAAUCAAUCUUUCAGGUUAAAGGGCAGCAAGAGUUCUUAACUGCUGAACCAUCCCUCCAGCCCCUUGUCCCUCUUUGAUCUUUGCUCUGAGGGGGAGGAGAGAAGAAUUGGGGGAUUUGAAACCCUCUUCCUGAACUUUAAGCAACACAUUGAUACCUGCAUGUAUGGCACAACUGAAGCAACAGCAACAUUUCCCUGUCCUGUGGGAAUGGCCUCGCGGACUAGUAAGGCCACUUUCUUGCUCCUAGCACCUUGCAUCUGAUGCUUCGUUCUCAAGGAAAAUCUCUUAAGACUCUCUUCUGGCUGUGGCCAGUUUCUGGAAUCCCUGAUUGGUUUAGUCAGAGCUCGUGGAAAUCACUAUUACUAAUAGGCAUGGGCAAGUACAUGUUGUGUCAUCUGGGACUCUAGCAUUGGAAUUCAUGGGGCAUCUUGUAACAGGAGGCCUGGACUGAGUACUGUAACUGAACUCUGAGGUUCUAACACGCUCCCAACAAGAGUAAUGAUGGAACUGUAGGGUUUAAUCCAAAUGCAAAAUGCCCAUGUGAGGAAUACAGAAAUUAAUCCAGUCUUUUAGAAAACUGACAUCAGCUUGAGUUUAAGUUGAGGAACAAUUUGUGCAGGACCCAGAGGGCUUCCUGACUAAGUGCUGUCAUCUGACUGUGCUAUAGGAGAUCAUCAUCUCAGUUCCUGUUCUUCCAGGUGGUUUGAAGAAGUCCGACUGUUUGAGAGAACCUUCUGGUUCCCUAAUUCUGCCCCUACUUAAGGCUAAAGCCAUGUUGCAAUCUGAAACAUGAGCUUGAGGUCACUGGAUCCUGUUGUUGAUUGGUCUUCCUGGCACAUUGGUUAAAUUUCUGCAUGGCAAUGAAGUUUGGCUGGUCCCCCACAAAGGAAAAGAGUCAGAGAAUGUAGACAGGCUGACAGUUUGUCAGUGUCAUCAGUUUGGAAAGUUGUCCUUGGCAGUGUUCUGAAGAAGUGUCCUUCCCAAUCCUUGAACUGUUCUAACCUUUGCCUGAAGGCUAAACUCUAAAAGACAGGCCCCAACUAGGGGAUUAUCAUGUUGACUGCCAAAUCUUUCUCUGUAUUCACAAGGCCCAGAAAAUCUGGUGUGCUUUGUAAGCCCCUCCUGAAUCUGCACGAAGUCUGAGUCCAUUUCAGUCUUCUGGACAGAGACAAAGGAAGGAAAAGUAUAAUAUGACUGCUAACUUGCUCAGCACCCUUUACCUACCCACCCUGCAUCCCAACAUGUCAUGUGGAAAAGUCCUCAUUUUUUAUAUUGAGAAGGGUUUUUUGUUUGUUUGAUUAAUUUUUGAUUUUUCAGUGAAGUCAUUUUCUUUGUGUCAAUACCUUUUUCUCUACACUUACCAGGCUGUUGUAAGAAAUAAACUGAGAAACAUUUGAUCUCUCCUCUUCCUCCACCAAGUGCUGACCCUCAGGCUGCACCACCAAUAAAUAGGGACCUGAAGAAAGGAAUGGGAGUUGUGUUUAUUUAAAAAAAGAUUAGACAGAAGGAAUACGUUUGGUGGAUGUGUAGUCAGGUAUGUGGAAGAGGGUGCCUCUGAGGGCCCAUGUUGAGGCAUCCCUUCCCUCUGAGAGGCAUAGGGAAGGGAGUUGAAAGGGUAGUAGGGACAGAGAAAGGGAGAGAGAGAGAGAGAGAGAGAGAGAGAGAGAGAGAGAGAGAGAGAGAGAGAAGAGGAGUAGAGGCUGGCCAUGAGCAUGCAGAGAAAGAAGGGAGGGGAAUGAGGAGAGAGGGGGGAAGGGGAGAGAGGACAGAAGGAGCAAGAAGGCAAGAACAAGAGAGAGAGGGGGAGGAGGAGGGGGCAAACAGUCCUUUUUAUUGUGAGUCAGGCACACCUGGCUGUUGCCAGGUAACUUGGGGGCAGAGUUUAAACAAAAUGCUGACAAUGGGGACUGGGGUCAGUUGGACAUAAAGGACUGUGGAGACUGCUGGAGACCAGAGUACUACCAUCCUGCAGUUAGUGAGAGAUAAAGCUGCAACAUUUCCAGCACUUCUCCAACCGCAACUCAGCUCAGCGGUAGCUGUUUUUCAGAAACUUCUGCUUUCCUCAACAGAAGGAAGUGAAAUAGAGAUGUUACUUUCUGGGUGGUUUAGCAAAACCGCUCUCUGUAUACCAUGUGCAACCUCCACACAACGACUUCCACAAUUGUGUCAAACCCAUCAAGCUACUCAACACACACACCAACAUACCACACACACACACACAUACACUCUCGUGCACACACACACACACACACACACACACACACAGAGAGACACACACACUCACAUUGAAAGCUAUGACAAAAGGAAUCAAUCUCAAGAAAAAUCAAACAUGUUUUGCCAUUGGGAUGGUAUUUGUUCAAAUGCUGUCUGUUAUGUAAGAGGUUGUGGGCCAAGGUUGGGGGAGGGACAGAUGGGGAAAUUCCAAUGUGUGCAAUUUUUGUGGAAAGGAUGACCGUAGGAGUAAUGCAGUCUCAGGAUUUCAUUGUGGGAACUCGGGAGUACUGAGGGUGGGAAUGAAGCCAGAGAAAGAAAGUAGAAUUACUUUUGACAUUCUUCACAGGUUUGUUUAAGGGGCACCUCAUUGAGAGUCUGCUCAGAGCACUUGCGUGUGGUUUGCAGAGAGCGAUGGAGAUCAACUUUGCCCAUCCCUGAUCAAAAUGUAGAGAAACCUGCUAAGGUGUCUGGAGGACGGGGAAUCAAACAUAAUUGAAGAAAUACCUGGGGAUUGGAUGGGAGAGGGACUCAUGAGUUCCCACCCCUCACUGCAGAGCUAAUGGCAGUGGUGCCAGGAGGAGGAGGGUCAGUUUUCUUCAGAGAUGCAGUUCUGAGGAAGAUGGGGAACUGGGAGGGCAUAGGAGACAGAAAUAGGAGAGUUGGAGGGGAAGACUAUGAUCCAAAUGCAUUGUAUCUAAUAUAUGACAUUUUCAAAGAAUAAGUUUAAGUAUAUUUUUAGAAAACUAUGCUGCUGCUGUAACAACCUGUGGUACAAAUUCAUGACACUGAUACAGGCCUGAAGAGGCCCGUGGUUCUGACUUCAUUGAAAAGGCAAUUUUAUUUUGCAGUUAUGUUAUCUCCUAUGACAAAACAAAAAGUAGUAAAUAAUAAUACCUUAUAAAGAAAUAUGAAUACAACUAGACAUAACCAACGCCAUCUUAAUUGUCCUUGGUUAUAGGACAACCCAAUGUGGUUAUAAAACCACCCUGGCUUAACGUUCCUGAUACAGCUGCCAACCAUUGAGCUGUUUGUUCUUGAUUUCUGCUGAAGUGGGUUGGGUACUUUCCAGUAAAAACCGCCUAAACCCGUCCUUACUCAUAUUUGCCUAGCACGUAGCAGAGAAGCCUUCCUGUUUGCACACCAUGCUGCUGGCUCAUAGCCCUGUGAUCAGACAUAUUUCCUCCUGUGGCAGCUGCUUCUUAUUCACCAGAACUCCAUGUUUCCUGAAACAGGCUUUCUCCAUAUUGUGGAAAACUUGCAUGAUUGAAUCUUCCUACUUCUGAAGAUGAAAUGAGUAGUUCUUUGCACACAAAGUUUGGAGGGUGCUUCUCAUUCUUCUCUUCUUCUCCUUUUUCUCAUUUACCUGAGAAGAAUUUUAAAUGGGUCAAAGGAAUGAGUGUCAGUCACCAAACUGACAAGUUGCCUUGAAUACCUGUAACUUUGUUAGAAUAAUAAAUUCUGGAGAAAACUAGUCUCAAUGUUGCUUUUGUCUUCUUCUUUUUUUGGGGGGAGGAUCAAAUAAUUUCCAAAUAACAUCUGCUGAGGUUUGAAUAUUAAAUGUCUCCCAGAGGCCUAUGUGCCUUGCUAGGCAGCUUGUGACAUUGUUGAUUGGGAAAUAGCAGAAACUUAAAAAUCUAAGGCUUGCUGGGAGUAAGUUAAGUCACUGGUGACUGUGCAAACCACAGUUCCCACCCUAAAGGGAAUAAGAGGUAGAUUAUUGGGAAACUGUUUUGGGUGACCACAGCCCAGGAACACAGAUUUAAGUUACUCCAAAUUCCAAGUUCCAACAUGGAAACAGUUCUGUAAAGUUUUAUGCUUUGACAGAACAAAGGAAGCCGCCAAUCAAGGUGAGUUUAAAAUACACUAGUAGGAAUAUCAGAGAGGUAGGGAACAUCAGUCUCUCCUAGAGGCCUCAGACACUGUUAGAUGACAUUAUUAGCUCAGGGCGGCUAGUUGUCUGCUAAGCUAAUGUAUUCCAAAAGUCUUUUGCCUAUUAGUCACAGGAUGUGAUAGUUCAACAUAGACAUGGUCUAGGAAUUCAGACCUAAAGGAAGUCUGAGAUGAGAUAAAUUACCCUAUAGACAGGCAACAUUCCCACCUCUUAUCUGCCAACCUUGGCAGACAUGGCUUCUCUUUAAGAAUGCCCACUGACAGUGGUGGACAGUUCUGAUCUGGCCUAUAACCCCGCCCCCAUCCUUGUGUGUAACUUUAACAUGGACCCAGAAGCUAUUGAGCCAGCUAGCCAUAGUCUGAAACUUAGGCAACUCUUCUCCUCAUAAGUUGGCCAAUUCAGGUGCUUUGUUAUAUCAUCAGAAAGUUGACACAAUGUCCUUUACCAAGUAACUUUGGCCCAUAUUACCCUGGAACAGAAUCCUCUGCAUUUCUUCCUCAUCUGUUUAUUGUUCCUUUUGUAGACUUGACCUCUCUUGCACAUCCUCCUCCACCUCCUCCUUUGUGCCAGAAAAUUUCUCAGGCUUUUAAUUCAAUGGAUCCAUUAACUAGAAUAAUAAUAACUUUCCAUGCCCUUGUGUCACAGAGGCCUACUAUCAGGAAUUCAGAUUGUUGUGUUUAUAAAAAGAUAAAGCAAGAAGGACUAUGUUUUGGUGGAUGUGUGGUAAAGUGUGGGAGAAAGGGGUGCCUCCACAGGCCCAUGCUGAGGCAUCCCCUCCCCCUGAGGUACCAGCCAGAGACCGGGCAGAGGGGCGAGAGGGAGAGCAAGAAGGCAAGAACAAAAGGGAAAGGAGGGGGCAAUUAGCCCCUUUUAUAGUGAUUCAGGCAUACCUGGCCAUUGCCAGGUAACUGUGGGGCAGAGCUUAGAAAAAAUGCUAACAGAUGGAUUUGUUUCCAAAUACACUGUAAGAAACUCAUUUAGAUAUGACCUGCCUUAGCUACAGAGUGAGUUCAAAGUCUAUGUGAACAACUCUGUGAGAACCUUUCUCAUAAUGCAUUCUGUAAAGAGGGUCAGAAAUACAACUCUGAGAUAGAGUGCUGAUCCAGCACUCACAAUGCUCUGGGUAUGACACCUGUUGUGUUUUAUAAAAAGAUUGGAAAAGGCAGGGAUAUUUUUAGUGGAGGCGUGGUAAGGUGUGGGAGAAGGGGGUGCCUCUGAGGGGCCAUGCUCAGGCAUCCCUUCCCCCUCCGUAGUACCAGCCAGAUGAUG
rnacentral:lncRNA from 1 species